UACGAAGGGGGCAAGCGUUACUCGGAAUUACUGGGCGUAAAGCGUGCGUAGGCGGCUUGAUAAGGUUGCGGUGAAAGCCCGGGGCUCAACCCCGGGUCGGCCGUGGCAACUGUCGAGCUGGAGCACUGUAGAGGCAGGUGGAAUUCCCGGUGUAGCGGUGAAAUGCGCAGAUAUCGGGAGGAACACCAAUGGCGAAGGCAGCUCGCUGGGACGUGACUGACGCUGAGACGCGAAAGCGUGGGGAGCAAACAGG
rnacentral:rRNA from 1 species